UUUCCUUCGUCGUUCUGCUGUGCGUGCUUCUAAACGUUGAAACCUUUGUCAUACAGGUUCUGAGAAUGCCAAUAGUUUCAUUGCUUAUGGACAAGGAAAGUGGGAGAUAUAUGGGCGUAAGAUUAGCUUCAGGCCAGAAUUUGUUCAGUGAUCGGCUUGUCCUGGACCCAACAUUCACGGUCCCAUCUCCACGAGUUCAUCUCAGAGAAAGUCUCGAGGGUUUAGGUCUGAGACAUGUUAAAGGGUAGGUGGCUAGAGGGAUAUGUGUCGUCUCAAGUUCCUUGAAACCGGACAUAUCUAAUUUUCUCAUUGCCUCCUCAUUGUUUUGUACUGUACUUUUCGGCAUUAUGCAACGAUGCAAAACAAGGGUGAACAUGGACAUAUCAGCUCCACUCCCAUGCCAGAUGAAGCAUUUCAGCAAGAUGUAUCCAGAUGGAGGAUUCUUCCCUGAGACCACCUCUCCCGAGGACGUAGAGGAUGACGGCGAGCUUAGCCUGGACUGAGUCCGCAUGAGAAAUCGGGGAGACUCCAAAGAGAAUUUAUGAGUCAGUGACAAUGGUAAACAUUAAGUUUCUUCGGCAACGGUUUUUUCCAAGCAAGAUGCAAGAGGGGACGAGCGUGUCUCAGCACUUAGACAAGAUGGAGAAGAUUAUCAAAGAAUUUGUAGCAGUGAGAGUCAAAAUGACUGAUCGUGAUCAGUGACCGGAAGAAGUUCGCCCGCUCGACCUGCUAAUGCCACUCUCAUGGAUUCAGUAAACAUAUCGUCUGCCGAUGGAUGUUCUACGCUUGAGGUCUGAAGUGCAGCCGGCUGUUACACUACUAACUUGCAUUUUUGCACUGAAGCACUCCAUAUCCAUUUUCUUCUCCAUACAUCUCUUUUGAAUUAUAUGGCAAAAAAUGAACUCUGUAGGGGGGACAAAAGAAAGAAAAAGGAAAUGAAAUGACUUCAUAUUUUAUCACCAUUUUAUUCCAGAGUGUUGCAACGAGUUCUGUUCUCCUGUUUUAUGUAAUCUUAUUACUUUGAUUUGCAUGAAAAUUUCUGAUGAUACAUCUUGAAGUACUAUUUGACCCUUUUUAUAUGUAGUUGUU